ACAAUUGUGUUUUCCUGAUAUUCACCUCACAACAAACAUAAGCCUCCAAAACAUAAUUACAACCAAUAUAUUUAAAGUACAAAUUUUCCCAGAUCCCCUCUACCUAAUCAGCCACUUGGUCCCUCCCGGAACGUUCUUUACCCUGCUCGUACGCUGGGGACUUCUUUCGGCCGAACACGGGAGCAGACACAAGAUCGGACCGAAUCAGAACACACUGCCAGCUAAGGAGCAGAGACUACUUCCCUGGAAGACUCUCCAGAGAGGAUACACCUCCUGAACCCCCUCAAGUGCCCCUUAAAACGUGAACCAAUCAUUCAGAAGCCGGGCAAGUGACAGUGUUUGGUGUCCAUGAAACAGAGAUCCAGGAGUUCAGUCUAAUCAGUCUCUCUGUGUUUGCCACUCCAGCACCAACUACACAUCCUCCAUCAGGAGCAAGCUGGGCUGAAGAAUCCAAAAAUCUGGCAAGAUCUCACAGUCCACCGAAGAAUCGCCAAAAACAGUGAGGAAAUCCAAAGGCAGAAGAAACCAACAGAGAAAACGCCGACCUGGCCUUGAAUACACAAAGCUAAAAAAUAUUAUGCAAUUAUUGCUAACUUAUUUAAAUGUUUUCUCUUCCCUUAAAGUAUCUACAGAGCUGUCAAUCUGUUACUUUAGCGAAAUAAAAUUAUAGGAGUUA